rnacentral:rRNA from 1 species
AUUGAACGCUGGCGGCAUGCUUUACACAUGCAAGUCGAACGGUAACAGGCCGCAAGGUGCUGACGAGUGGCGAACGGGUGAGUAAUGCAUCGGAACGUGCCCAGCCGUGGGGGAUAACUACUCGAAAGAGUAGCUAAUACCGCAUACGAUCUAUGGAUGACAGCGGGGGACCGUAAGGCCUCGCGCGAUUGGAGCGGCCGAUGUCAGAUUAGGUAGUUGGUGGGGUAAAGGCUCACCAAGCCAACGAUCUGUAGCUGGUCUGAGAGGACGACCAGCCACACUGGGACUGAGACACGGCCCAGACUCCUACGGGAGGCAGCAGUGGGGAAUUUUGGACAAUGGGCGCAAGCCUGAUCCAGCAAUGCCGCGUGCAGGAAGAAGGCCUUCGGGUUGUAAACUGCUUUUGUACGGAACGAAACGGCUCUGGUUAAUACCCGGGGCUAAUGACGGUACCGUAAGAAUAAGCACCGGCUAACUACGUG